AUUGAACGCUGGCGGCAGGCCUAACACAUGCAAGUCGAACGAGUGGCGGACGGGUGAGUAAUGUCUGGGAAACUGACUGAUGGAGGGGGAUAAGUACUGGGAACGGUAGCUAAUAACGCAUACCAUCAGAUGAUCCCAGAUGGGCUUAGCUUGUUGGUGGGGUAACGGCUCACCAAGGCGCCGAACCCUAGCUGGUCUGAGAGGCUGACCAGGCACCCGGGAACUGAGACACGGUCCCGACUCCUACGGGAGGCAGCAGUGGGGAAUAUUGCACAAUGGGCGCAAGCCUGAUGCAGCCAUGCCGCGUGUAUGAAGAAGGCCUUCGGGUUGUAAAGUACUUUCAGCGGGGAGGCGUUACCCGCAGAAGAAGCACCGGCUAACUCCGUGCCAGCAGCCGCGGUAAUUC
rnacentral:rRNA from 1 species